rnacentral:rRNA from 1 species
CCUACGGGGGGCUGCAGUGGGGAAUAUUGGACAAUGGGGGCAACCCUGAUCCAGCCAUGCCGCGUGUGUGAAGAAGGCCCUCGGGUUGUAAAGCACUUUCAGUGAGGAAGAACGCCUGGUGGUUAAUACCCAUCAGGAAAGACAUCACUCACAGAAGAACCACCGGCUAACUCCGUGCCAGCAGCCGCGGUAAUACGGAGGGUGCGAGCGUUAAUCGGAAUUACUGGGCGUAAAGCGCGCGUAGGUGGCUUGAUAAGCCGGUUGUGAAAGCCCCGGGCUCAACCUGGGAACGGCAUCCGGAACUGUCAAGCUAGAGUGCAGGAGAGGAAGGUAGAAUUCCCGGUGUAGCGGUGAAAUGCGUAGAGAUCGGGAGGAAUACCAGUGGCGAAGGCGGCCUUCUGGACUGACACUGACACUGAGGUGCGAAAGCGUGGGUAGCAAACAGGAUUAGAUACCCGGGUAGUC